rnacentral:rRNA from 1 species
UGCAGUCGAACGGUAAGGCCUUUCGGGGUCAUACGAGUGGCGAACGGGUGAGUAACACGUGAGCAACCUGCCCUUGACUUCGGAAUACCAGCUGGAAACAGCUGCUAAUACCGGAUAUGACCCUGGUCCUCCUGGACUGGGGUGGAAAGCUCCGGCGGUCAGGGAUGGGCUCGCGGCCUAUCAGCUUGUUGGUGAGGUAAUGGCUCACCAAGGCUUCGACGGGUAGCCGGCCUGAGAGGGCGACCGGCCACACUGGGACUGAGAUACGGCCCAGACUCCUACGGGAGGCAGCAGUGGGGAAUAUUGCACAAUGGGCGCAAGCCUGAUGCAGCAACGCCGCGUGCGGGAUGACGGCCUUCGGGUUGUAAACCGCUUUCAGUAGGGACGAAGCCACAAGUGACGGUACCUACAGAAGAAGGACCGGCUAACUACGUGCCAGCAGCCGCGGUGAUACGUAGGGUCCGAGCGUUGUCCGGAAUUAUUGGGCGUAAAGGGCUUGUAGGCGGUCCGUCGCGUCAGGAGUGAAAACUCGGGGCUUAACCCCGAGCCUGCUUUUGAUACGGGCGGACUAGAGGGAUGCAGGGGAGAACGGAAUUCCUGGUGGAGCGGUGGAAUGCGCAGAUAUCAGGAGGAACACCGGUGGCGAAGGCGGUUCUCUGGGCAUCACCUGACGCUGAGAAGCGAAAGCGUGGGGAGCAAACAGGCUUAGAUACCCUGGUAGUCCACGCCGUAAACGGUGGGCACUAGGUGUGGGGGACAUUCCACGUUCUCCGUGCCGAAGCUAACGCAUUAAGUGCCCCGCCUGGGGAGUACGGCCGCAAGGCUAAAACUCAAAGGAAUUGACGGGGGCCCGCACAAGCGGCGGAGCAUGCGGAUUAAUUCGAUGCAACGCGAAGAACCUUACCUGGGUUUGACAUACACCGGAAAGCUGCAGAGAUGUAGCCCCCCGCAAGGUCGGUGUACAGGUGGUGCAUGGCUGUUCGUCAGCUCGUGUCGUGAGAUGUUGGGUUAAGUCCCGCAACGA